ensembl:lncRNA
AUUAGAUCAACACCUUCCGGUACCUUCAAAUGUCCAGUGUUUUCUUCCGGGUCACCCUCAACCACCAGCUUAGAUUGGGUCCCAUUCCCUUCCACCUCACCCCUGGACAUGGGGCAUUCCUUAUCAUCCUCCCGUCUAGGUUCCAGUUCUUGUUACCACACCAACCCUGAAUGUCUGUCCCUCUAACCCACCCCUGAACCCCAGGGCACACUCUUCAAGUUCACCUUUCCAUGAUAAGGGCACCCUUUAUGACUAAAGGGCACCCAAAUGACUAAAUUUUCAUCGUCUCCAGAGUGGGCAGGGUAGGGCUCGGGAUCCUGUGAGGUCAGGAGCCCAGGAGGCCAGGAAAAUAAAUUCAGACCCAUCAACCCUCCCCAGACAAAAAGCCAGGACUCCAGGGUUGCAGACUAGAAUAGAAUACAUCACAACCAGCAGACCAGGCAUAAGGCAGGGGGAAGCUUUUAUUUAACUGGACAGCAGGCUCAAGACACAGCAGAGACUUCCCCAAGCUGAUGUCUGCUGCUGCUUCGAUGGAGGAGGGGUACACUGAGCCAACUCUUGACAGCUUGGGGGGCUUCACUCUACAUACCUAGUUUCACGCCUAGAAGAGCCCUAUUCCAUCUGAUGAUGGAUACAGUCUUAACUCUUCCAUGCCCUGGACCCACCCAAGAACUGAGCAGGCCUGCUUGCGUCCUCUGGGCCCACAGGGACCUCAUUCCCCACCCCAUGUGCCAGGAGGGUGCCAUGGCCCCUCCCCCCAAGUUAGGAAGCCACAGGGCCCAGGGAGAAGGGGCCAGGCAGGUUCAGGUCAGGCCAGCCUGGUUCCGGAAGCCCGGAGUUGGCAUUUAACGGUCUGGGGGGCCCAAGGCAGCUUCCUCUUUGGUAACUGGCUGCUGGGAAGAUGCAGGCCAGCCAAGCCCCCACCAAGCUUGGACGAGGAGGGGCCGAGGGUCGGCCAGGCAAGGACACAUCUGGCUUCCUUUCUUCAUGGAAAGGCCAGCCAGCCAGCCACCUGCCUGUCUGCUCAUCCUCCCUGGGAGCACAGCCCAGUCUUGAGUUGGGACUGGGGGGCACGGGGGCAGUCCCCAAGUGCAGAAAUUGGAGGAGGGGGCCUGCAGCAAACAGCUGGGUUCACCCACCCCAUUCCAGGCUCCACCCAUCCCCAGGUUCCUCCUCCGGACCCAGGUCCCAGGCCAGCAGGGUCCUCAUUUCUUCCCCCGGGCAGCGACUGGCCCACCCAAGGAGGGCAGGGGCCACAGCAGACUCCAAGGGGGCUUGACUCCUGUUCCUGCUGAACUGAGCCAGUGUGCACAAAUCAACUGUGUUUCAGCUCAGUAGGCACGGGAGGCAGAGCCCAGGGAGGCCCCGAGGUUGGCCAGGCAGCAGAGGGGGAGAGGUGGCAGGGCCAGAGGCAGCGGCAGGGCCCUUGGGGGGGCGGAACUUAGCCACUGUGAACACGAUUUGAUGUGGACCUGCUCACAAGCAGCUAAGCCCUGCUCCCCAGGCCAGAUGUGAGCAGUGGGGGCCUCGCUGCCACCCCAUCCCCAUCCCCAGGGUCAGCGUCCUCAGCAGUGGCAGUGACAAUGGCGGCCCCGGAGACAGGGCUCAGGGUCGGUUGGAAAUCCC